rnacentral:rRNA from 1 species
UACAGAGGGGGCCAGCGUUAUUCGGAAUUAUUGGGCGUAAAGGGCGCGUAGGCGGCUUUGCGUGUCUUUCGUGAAAUCCCUCGGCUCAACUGAGGACGUGCGGAAGAAACUGCAGGGCUGGAGUCCGGGAGAGGAGGGUGGAAUUCCCAGUGUAGCGGUGAAAUGCGUAGAUAUUGGGAGGAACACCGGUGGCGAAGGCGGCCCUCUGGACCAUAACUGACACUCAGGGACGAAAGCUAGGGGAGCGAAUGGG